AUGCAGUUUGCAACUUUACCUUUGGACGCCCAGCAUAUUCAGUCUGCGGGUGCUGUCCAAGAGGCAUCAGUACCCAAAAAGCUUUGGUGUUCCAAAUGCCAAUCUGCUGGACACAAGGCGGACGACUGCGAGACGCAGCAAUAUUGCUUCAUCUGUAACAAGACCAAUCACCCGAUGACCAUGAGACGGUGCCCUGCCUUAAAGCUACCAAAGCCGGCGGCGAUGCUAUGUGGUUAUGGAACUGAAACUAUGGCAUUUUUUCAGAUGCCUGAUAAUGUUUGUAGGGAGGAUCUCUCACAGCAGGACUCACGGAUAGCUUUGGUUUCGAUUUCUGGUGGUUCACUUUCUGCCAAUAUUGUGGAGGUGGAGGUGGCUAAGAUUGCUCAGGUUCAGUGGAAUUGGGAGGCGGUGCCACAUGGUGAGGAUGCAUUUCUGAUGUCGUUUCCUAGUGAGGAGGUUUUGCAGAGGGUGACCGGUUUUGCAGUUUUCCUCAAGUCUCACAAUGUCACCAUCGAGUUCAAGCCUUGGAAGUCAGACGAGAUACCACAUCGUUUCGAGCUUAUUCCUAUUUGGGUACAUGUGCACGGUGUGCCUCACGCUCUUCGUCAUUUCUUGGGUCUUUGGGCGGUCGGCUCGGUUAUUGGAGCAACUCUGGAUGUCGAUCUUCUAUGUUUGCGUCGCAGAGGAAUUGUUCGUAUUCAGGUAGCGGUGCUGAACCUUGAUGCUUUCAAGAGAAGCACAAUUGAUUCUCUUACUUCUGACGUGGUCGUUCAGAGGAAGGGUUAUGAGUUCCGGUACAGCCUGGAAAAAGAGGACUUUCGUGUUGAUGCUGAUUUUGUGCCUCGAGUAUGGGAGCAUGGGGAUGAUUCAGGAGGCGAUAAGGGACAUGAGAGGGAUGACACAGUGGGGGGCAAUGAUACAAGUAAAAGGCCCAAACCCACUUCUUCAUCAUCCAACAACACCUCGGCCCCUCCUACCUCGGGCGGAGUGGUACCCAUGCAGAUGGCCAUUGACGUCACACCGUCGAACCCUCAUCGAGGCUUACCUGCCACAGCUGCUUCUUCGUCACUCAUGGGGUCUUCUUCGUCGGUGCCGGCUAGUUCGUCUAACAUUGCUUCGCCGACGACGCUGGCGCCCAGGUCCUCGACGCCGCCAUCACCGACUCACUGGUCGGCGCCGCCGCACCUCGACGACGGGGGUCACAUGCGUCCCAUACCGGAGGGGAUGGCAACCGCAGUGGUGAAUGCGAGCGCUCCAUCGCCUACACCUGUCUCUCCGACUCGACGGGGAGUGAUCUUCUCCCCGUCCAUUCGUGCUUGCCAGGAGUCUGCCAGGGCGGAACUCCGCGCGUUAUCAUCUACACCUCCGUCACCAGGGGGGGCGUCGGCUUCCGGUCCCGAGGAGGCUGAGGAGCAGCCCCUGCGAUCUUCUUCUUCACCACCACAACAGCCUACUACGCCUCUCGGAGUCGUUGGGACAGGCUCAACGUCCGAUAUUACUCCUUCGCUGCUGAGGCGCAGCGGGUGUCAUUACGUCGGGACUGACGGUUCAGCAGCCACCGACGAGGACUCUAUGGUGAAGGCCAUGCGUAGGACGGCUGCGCGCAACCUCGACUUCGAAGGACGUAAUGAGAAAAAGAUAGACUUUUCGGUUAGGGCCCUUAAACAAGUGGAGUUCGACCGGAUUACGGUUGCUCCUAAGUUGUCGAGCUUUGUUGACCCUCUCGUGUCAGAUGAGGAGGAUGAGGAUGCUGAUGCCAAUCAUGAAGGCAAGCUUCUCUCUCAUUUGGUUAAAGACACGACUGAAGUAGACUUUGACGAUACUGUACGCGACACUACGCUUUGUGAGCUUGUCGCAUCGGUGCGUUAUUCAUGUGUGUACACGAUGACUCCGUACUUGGUCUAUCCUGCAGAGGCCGGAGGACAUAGACCUUUUUAUGAUGGCGUCUACAUGGCUGGAGCAUACGGCCAGGGAGGUUUUCUACCCCCAUGGAUGGCGGGAGUAGAUGCAUACUUGCGCACCGCAUGCUGCUUAUUGAUUGGAGGGAGACACCAAUGGACAAAGGGAAACGACACGAUGCAAGAAUUGAGCAAACCUGGCACCUGCUGGUGGCCCAGCUACGUCUUUAGCGUGCACAUGGUGCAACUUCCACCGGCGCCUGAGGCGUCCAUGUCCCAUUGGGCCAAGUUCCGACCAGUCCUCUUUCCAAGCCAUCCCCGAAGUCCCGUCUAUGUCAGCUUCGACAACCCUAGCUUCCUUUACUCCUUUGCCGCGGCCGAGGGCAUCGUCUUUCUCAGGCAUGGGCUAUCGUAUGGCUUGUCCGUAGGCCAGAUCGGACGGUUCCUGCCGUUCCUCUCGUUGCUCAGCCUGAUAGGCCCCGUGAGGAAGACGACGUCCUCGUUUUAUUCUCCACAUAUGCUGCUCCCCGCGUUCGCAAGAUCAACCCCUUCCCUUCUCUUUCUCGAGCCGAUCCUCCUCGACGGCUCCACAACUACUGCUCCACCGCCUCCGUCGGAUCCAGCCUUCGCUUCUCUUUUAAGGCGACGAAGGAUGUGGAGUUUGACUCCAACUCCUAAAGGCUCGUCUCUCAUGUGUACGGAACAAACUAUUGAGGAUAGACGUCUGUGUUAUGUCGGCAAUAGGCCGGACUCACUUCCUUGUUCAAUCCCUGGCUCUAGCAUGAAUCAGUUCCAACGUGGCUCCAGAUGGUUUUGGUUUUUACCAAAACCUAUUGUUGUUCGUGUGCACCCGGAUAUAGAAUAUGGCCGCGACCCAGCUACACUCAUCACCAUCGUCGUUGCCACACAUGUCGCAACGCCAACUGCGCAUAUCGCCGGACGGACACCUGCCGACCGCAACGUCGUGAGCGUCCCACCUAUGGAAUGCACGAAUAGGAUCAAUGUUCUUCAAGGUGAUGCUACCAAGAGAGGAUGCGACGAGGACGACGCCGUCGGCCGACCCAACGACGGGCCUUAG
rnacentral:rRNA from 1 species